rnacentral:tRNA from 1 species
GCUGGAAUAGCUCAGUUGGUAGAGCGCACCCAUGGUAAGGGUGAGGUCGUGGGUUCAAUCCCCACUUCCAGCUCCA